CAGAGGGUGCAAGCGUUGUUCGGAAUUACUGGGCGUAAAGCGCGCGCAGGCGGAUCCUGUAAGUCGGAAGUGAAAUUUCGGAGCUCAACUCCGAAGCUGCUUCUGAUACUGCGGAUCUGGAGAUCGGUAGAGGUCGGUAGAAUUACAGGUGUAGCGGUGGAAUGCGUAGAUAUCUGUAAGAAUACCCGUGGCGAAGGCGGCCGACUGGGCCGGAUCUGACGCUGAGGCGCGAAAGCGUGGGGAGCAAACAGGAUUAGAUACCCUGGUAGCCCACGCCGUAAACGAUGGGCACUAGGUGCCGGGGGGAGCGACCCCUUCGGUGCCGCAGCUAACGCGAUAAGUGCCCCGCCUGGGGAGUACGGCCGCAAGGCUG
rnacentral:rRNA from 1 species